rnacentral:rRNA from 1 species
CACGUAGGGUGCGAGCGUUGUCCGGAAUUAUUGGGCGUAAAGAGCUCGUAGGCGGUGUGUCGCGUCGGCCGUGAAAACCUGCAGCUUAACUGUGGGCCUGCAUUCGAUACGGGCAGACUAGAGUUCGGUAGGGGAGUCUGGAAUUCCUGGUGUAGCGGUGAAAUGCGCAGAUAUCAGGAGGAACACCGGUGGCGAAGGCGGGACUCUGGGCCGAUACUGACGCUGAGGAGCGAAAGCGUGGGGAGCAAACAGG